GGAUCUGACAGUGUUCCGGAGCCGGGGCGAGCAGCCAAAAGGCCCGCGGAGUCGCGCUGGGCCGCCCCGGCGCAGCUGAACCGGGGGCCGCGCCUGCCAGGCCGACGGGUCUGGCCCAGCCUGGCGCCAAGGGGUUCGUGCGCUGUGGAGACGCGGAGGGUCGAGGCGGCGCGGCCUGAGUGAAACCCAAUGGAAAAAGCAUGACAUUUAGAAGUAGAAGACUUAGCUUCAAAUCCCUACUCCUUCACUUACUAAUUUUGUGAUUUGGAAAUAUCCGCGCAAGAUGUUGACGUUGCAGACUUGGCUAGUGCAAGCCUUGUUUAUUUUCCUCACCACUGAAUCUACAGGUGAACUUCUAGAUCCAUGUGGUUAUAUCAGUCCUGAAUCUCCAGUUGUACAACUUCAUUCUAAUUUCACUGCAGUUUGUGUGCUAAAGGAAAAAUGUAUGGAUUAUUUUCAUGUAAAUGCUAAUUACAUUGUCUGGAAAACAAACCAUUUUACUAUUCCUAAGGAGCAAUAUACUAUCAUAAACAGAACAGCAUCCAGUGUCACCUUUACAGAUAUAGCUUCAUUAAAUAUUCAGCUCACUUGCAACAUUCUUACAUUCGGACAGCUUGAACAGAAUGUUUAUGGAAUCACAAUAAUUUCAGGCUUGCCUCCAGAAAAACCUAAAAAUUUGAGUUGCAUUGUGAACGAGGGGAAGAAAAUGAGGUGUGAGUGGGAUGGUGGAAGGGAAACACACUUGGAGACAAACUUCACUUUAAAAUCUGAAUGGGCAACACACAAGUUUGCUGAUUGCAAAGCAAAACGUGACACCCCCACCUCAUGCACUGUUGAUUAUUCUACUGUGUAUUUUGUCAACAUUGAAGUCUGGGUAGAAGCAGAGAAUGCCCUUGGGAAGGUUACAUCAGAUCAUAUCAAUUUUGAUCCUGUAUAUAAAGUGAAGCCCAAUCCGCCACAUAAUUUAUCAGUGAUCAACUCAGAGGAACUGUCUAGUAUCUUAAAAUUGACAUGGACCAACCCAAGUAUUAAGAGUGUUAUAAUACUAAAAUAUAACAUUCAAUAUAGGACCAAAGAUGCCUCAACUUGGAGCCAGAUUCCUCCUGAAGACACAGCAUCCACCCGAUCUUCAUUCACUGUCCAAGACCUUAAACCUUUUACAGAAUAUGUGUUUAGGAUUCGCUGUAUGAAGGAAGAUGGUAAGGGAUACUGGAGUGACUGGAGUGAAGAAGCAAGUGGGAUCACCUAUGAAGAUAGACCAUCUAAAGCACCAAGUUUCUGGUAUAAAAUAGAUCCAUCCCAUACUCAAGGCUACAGAACUGUACAACUCGUGUGGAAGACAUUGCCUCCUUUUGAAGCCAAUGGAAAAAUCUUGGAUUAUGAAGUGACUCUCACAAGAUGGAAAUCACAUUUACAAAAUUACACAGUUAAUGCCACAAAACUGACAGUAAAUCUCACAAAUGAUCGCUAUCUAGCAACCCUAACAGUAAGAAAUCUUGUUGGCAAAUCAGAUGCAGCUGUUUUAACUAUCCCUGCCUGUGACUUUCAAGCUACUCACCCUGUAAUGGAUCUUAAAGCAUUCCCCAAAGAUAACAUGCUUUGGGUGGAAUGGACUACUCCAAGGGAAUCUGUAAAGAAAUAUAUACUUGAGUGGUGUGUGUUAUCAGAUAAAGCACCCUGUAUCACAGACUGGCAACAAGAAGAUGGUACCGUGCAUCGCACCUAUUUAAGAGGGAACUUAGCAGAGAGCAAAUGCUAUUUGAUAACAGUUACUCCAGUAUAUGCUGAUGGACCAGGAAGCCCUGAAUCCAUAAAGGCAUACCUUAAACAAGCUCCACCUUCCAAAGGACCUACUGUUCGGACAAAAAAAGUAGGGAAAAACGAAGCUGUCUUAGAGUGGGACCAACUUCCUGUUGAUGUUCAGAAUGGAUUUAUCAGAAAUUAUACUAUAUUUUAUAGAACCAUCAUUGGAAAUGAAACUGCUGUGAAUGUGGAUUCUUCCCACACAGAAUAUACAUUGUCCUCUUUGACUAGUGACACAUUGUACAUGGUACGAAUGGCAGCAUACACAGAUGAAGGUGGGAAGGAUGGUCCAGAAUUCACUUUUACUACCCCAAAGUUUGUCUCAUGGAUCCAUUAUGGCUUCUUCACAUGGCUUGAGUCUUGCCAACGAGGACCUUACAGCUUAGUUGAAGAAAUUUUGCAUAAGUAAAUCAGAAAAAGGAGAACCUGUGGACUAUGUAGACAGUAAAUAGAGUAGGAAUUUAAAUAUACCAGUAGUGGAUAAUUUUACCUUCAAAGGUUUUAUGAAGAAGAAAAUACUUGAGCCUUGAGUUAGUAUGUGGACAAAUAGGAAGAAGGUGGCAUCUUAGAGAGCAGCAUGAGCAAAGGCACAGGCUUGAAAACAUAAAAGCAGAUGUUUAAUAAAGCAAAGUUUCUGCCUAAAUUAGAUUUGGCAUUUUAUAUAUAUAUACACACAUACAUACCCAUAUCAAUAUAUAUAUACACACAUAUAUCAAUAUAUACACACAUAAAUAUAUAUACAUACACCCAUAUAUAUAUAUAUAUGAUGCUUAGCAUUUAAGAGUUAAUAUUUGCCAACCCAUAGUUUAUUCUCAAGCAUUUAACUGAUUUCUUGAUUUCUACUGAGCUUCAUAGGAUGUUAGUUACUUACAAAGGGAUAUGUGUGGUGGAAGGAUAAAAUUAAGUGAAUAGUAUAUGGCUGCAAUAUUACUUUCAUACAUUUUUUACUGUAAAAGACUAAGUAAAAUUCAAAAUUAAUCAGGACAGUCAUUUAAAAAAUCUCCAAUGUUAAUUAUCCCAAUUAGUGAUUAAUUUGAUGAACAAGUCCUCUUUUAAAUGCAGAUGAGGAUUUGUGUGGUAUUUAGGGAUCUUAGGCUUGUUUACUUUUUAGUUUAUUCCUACUCGUGCCACUCCUCAUGCCCAUUGAGCAGCUCCUAAAGUUCUUAGCCCUGUACCAGCUAUAUCCUCCUUUUGAAAAAUGCUCAAGGAGAAAUUGAAGCCAUAGUCGUGCCUGUUUGCUUAGCAUUCCUAUUGACAACUCUUCUGGGAGUGCUGUUCUGCUUUAAUAAGCGAGACCUAAUUAAAAAACACAUCUGGCCUAAUGUUCCAGAUCCUUCAAAGAGUCAUAUUGCCCAGUGGUCACCUCACACUCCUCCAAGGCACAAUUUUAAUUCAAAAGAUCAAAUGUAUUCAGAUGGCAAUUUCACUGAUGUAAGUGUUGUGGAAAUAGAAGCAAAUGACAAAAAGCCUUUUCCAGAAGAUCUGAAAUCAUUGGACCUGUUCAAAAAGGAAAAAAUUAAUACUGAAGGACACAGCAGUGGUAUUGGGGGGUCUUCAUGCAUGUCAUCUUCUAGGCCAAGCAUUUCUAGCAGUGAUGAAAAUGAAUCUUCACAAAACACUUCGAGCACUGUCCAGUAUUCUACCGUGGUACACAGUGGCUACAGACACCAAGUUCCGUCAGUCCAAGUCUUCUCAAGAUCCGAGUCUACCCAGCCCUUGUUAGAUUCAGAGGAGCGGCCAGAAGAUCUACAAUUAGUAGAUCAUGUAGAUGGCGGUGAUGGUAUUUUGCCCAGGCAACAGUACUUCAAACAGAACUGCAGUCAGCAUGAAUCCAGUCCAGAUAUUUCACAUUUUGAAAGGUCAAAGCAAGUUUCAUCAGUCAAUGAGGAAGAUUUUGUUAGACUUAAACAGCAGAUUUCAGAUCAUAUUUCACAAUCCUGUGGAUCUGGGCAAAUGAAAAUGUUUCAGGAAGUUUCUGCAGCAGAUGCUUUUGGUCCAGGUACUGAGGGACAAGUAGAAAGAUUUGAAACAGUUGGCAUGGAGGCUGCGACUGAUGAAGGCAUGCCUAAAAGUUACUUACCACAGACUGUACGGCAAGGCGGCUACAUGCCUCAGUGAAGGACUAGUAGUUCCUGCUACAACUUCAGCAGUACCUAUAAAGUAAAGCUAAAAUGAUUUUAUCUGUGAAUUCAGAUUUUAAAAAGUCUUCACUCUCUGAAGAUGAUCAUUUGCCCUUAAGGACAAAAAUGAACUGAAGUUUCACAUGAGCUAUUUCCAUUCCAGAAUAUCUGGGAUUCUACUUUAAGCACUACAUAAACUGACUUUAUCCUCAGACUAGCUGAAUGAUUUUGUGCUGUUUCAGGAUGUUUGCACUGAAGAAAAACAGAAAGCUUAUCUGAAAUUUAUAAAACUUUUUGUUUUGCUACAUAGAAAACAGAAGGUAUUUGAAUAAUAAGCAGUGAUAUGCUUAGUGAGCACAGCUAUACUGAUUUUGAUUAGAAUAGUCAUCAGAGUGGCUUAGGGACAGUUAAUAUAAAAGAGGAGCAAGGUGUAGACCAUCAUCUACUUCUGCUAAAAUAACUUAAAAAGAGGUCCAUAGGCCAUAACUACAUGAGCCCAGCUUUUGUAAUCUGACAAAAAAAUGAGGAGCAGCUUCGUGUAUAUCAGUGUACACGGUAUUCCUUAGGUCCCUUCCAUUGGUAGUGAUGCUGCGAGUUAUUACUGGAGAAAAGGAAUUCUAGAGCUUUAACUUGGCAGAUUAAAAGUACUCAUUUUUUAUUCAUCAAUAAUUAGUAAUCUCACUAGUUUUCAAAAAUUUGCAUAUUAUUGACAACCUCUUUGAAGAUGCAUUUCACAAACUCAACAGAGUGCCAUGAUAAGAGCUAGGGAUCCCCCAAACUAUCUCAAGCAUCUAAAAAAUUGCCAUUUUUAAAGGCUUAAAUUGUAGUAGUAAAGGGGAAAACAGGAAGUAGUAGUAAAGGGGAAAAAAAACCAAUAAAGCAUCUAAAAAAUUGGCAUGUUAAAAGGCUUAAAUUGCUAAUGUGUGUAUAUAUAUAUAUAUAUAUACACACACAUAUCAUUGACUUUUCUUAAGACUUCAGAGUACUGGGUAGAUGAACACUUUAUACAGUAUAUAUCUUCAGCUUAAAUUUGUUUUGAGUAUUUUUUUUAUUUUUAAAUAAGUAGGCAAAGAUUUAAAUUUUUUUAUUUUUAGUAAAUGUUUGAGGCACACUAAGACAACUUGGGCAAUAUUUGCCAAAACAAAACAGAACCCCAAAAAAUGUACAUCUUGUUCUUAGCAAAUAUCAUUAUUGUAGAGACACUUAAUAAAGAGAUGGUAUUUUAAUGUCUGCAGUUCUGAGGUAGGGUGGAACUUAGUUCUACAUUGUGAUUUAGGAAUUUUUAAAACCUUUUUUCUUCAAGGGAGAAGUGACCCAGGCCUCGAGUUUAGUGCUAAAGCCGCUAGUGUACUUAUGCUGUCCCCUAACCACCACGUGCGAUAUGGAAGCAGAUGCUAAAUAUAGGGGUUUUCUUAGAAAGUAAGAGGAAAUUAGCAAGCGUUAUUAGUGAUUGACUACUGCUAUCAAGUGAAUUCAAAGGAAACAGGUUUUUAUGCCAUAUUUAAGUUACAGAAACCAGGCAUGCUUAGAAUAGUUUCUAGAGGUUAUUGGAGAAUAGAAAGCUAAGAAAACUUGGUAUACAUUUACAAUGGAAAUAUAAUUACACUUUUUACUCUCAGAAUAUUGUUCACAUUAGACUUCCUGUUUAUCUUUUAUAUUCUUGCAUUUAUAUAAUGCCUCAUCCUUUCAAAGUUCUUUCACAUAUUAUAUGAUCUUCUUUAUGAAAAAAAUAGAUGUUUCAUUCUGAUAUAUUCAGUUUCCCACUUUAGGCAAAAGUAGAUUAAUAGAAUGACGAAUUCAAAGUAGAUGAGGAAAAUCAGGCACAGAGAAGUAAAGGUAGGGAUAGACCCAAAUUUACACAACAAGAUAAUGACAUCUCCAGCUUUUAAGUUGAUCAUCAAAGGCUGGGCUGGAUUUGUCUUGCUGUAUGUGUCAGGAAAUUUAUACCUAUUACAUUUUCCAUUUUCUCAAAAUUUAAGUCACAUGACUAAUAUUUAGCUGCAACUUUCCUCAUAACAAAUAGUGUCAUGAAGAAUGUUGUAGUGUGAAGUUUGUACAUUUCAGGGUCAGAUAUACAAUAUGAACUCUUAAUCUACAGGAAUGAGAAUGGAGGAUCAUUGAAGGCCAUGAUAUAAACAAAUUUGCAUGUUGAAGCCUGUAUAAAACAUGGUACAGUGAGUGAAUAUACCCCCAUCCCCAAGAACACUUUAUACAUAUUAAAUGGAUAUAUGAUUACUGUGCAAAAAUUCAUUCUGGAAAUGAACAUAUAUUUGAGCACUAAUAUGUAAUGUACACCUGCCCUAAGGAGAAAAUAAAUUAUAAAACUUUUUACAUUCAAAAUUACUUUCCCAAGCAUGUCUUAGAAUAAUCUAUGUGUUGAUGCAUGUAAAUUGUACUUUAGGUAGGCAAAGAAAUCUGGUUAUUUAUGUAAAAACUAGUCUAAUAAAGUUAGUUAGUGGCUUUAUCACUUUAAAUCUUUAGUGUCCAAAAGUGGUGUUUAAAGUAAUAGCACAUCAGAAAACCUUGUCUGGACAAAACUAGUUCACUCACUGCUUCUGCACCUGCAGUUGCUCCCUUUAGGGUUAUAAAAUAAUGACCCAAAUGUUACAUGUGUUGAUAUUAUAACUUGUCAGUUACUGAUGUCUGUGGUAUCCUACCCUCAUCUCUGAAAGGGAUAAUACUGAAUAAUUAUUAGAAAACUAUAAAACUUCACACUUUGUACCAUUAAAACCUAAAAUUUUAAUCUUGUCCUUUUUUACUAUGGAUCAGUCGGCACUCGGGAACAGCAGCAAGGAAAAAAAGCAAAUUUCAUUCACAUGUUCUGUGUUCAUACCUCUUCUCUACCUAAUUGUUCAUUUAAAUUUCAGCCUUAUUCCUUGAUAAGGGAUUUUACCACAUGAAGUCAUCCAGUGACCCUAGCUCUUAUUGUGAAGUUAGUGGAGUAUACUUAGAAAUGUUACAACUUUAAAAUGUUACAAAACAUUCAUUAAAGCUCAUAUUUAAAGUAGAGCAUCUAGUUUGAGAAAUAGAAAUCAAUUAUUAAAGAUGUCUUUUUUCUACCCAUUUAACUAGUUAAAACCAUGACAUGUAAAUGUAGAAGUAGAAUAAUCAUAGAAUUCCCUAAAAUAUUUCUGUUUACUAACAUAUAUUGACCAAGUACAUCAAGCAGGAGAGAUCUUCCUUCAUUCUGUUAUAGUCCACAUCAUUCUAAUUUUGCUCAGUUGUUAUUAAGAGCAUAUUCCUAAACCAUACACUUUUGUUUCAAUAAAGUUUUAUUUUGUUGAGAUGAAUAAAAUAACAAAGUUAUAAGCUGCAUAAGACAAAAGUUCAAUUGUUCAAAAAAAAUUUACUGGGAUAGCUUUCUAUUACAGGUAUUGUUAGAUUAUAUUGUGCUGAUAAGAUUACUUUCUAAAAAAUUUGUACUUUUCUGUAAAUUAAAAGAAUAUGGAGUCAUAAAAUGGCAAGUGUUUUAGGAUUAGCCUAAAAUUGGACAUUGUCAUUGAUUUCAAAGAAGGUAUGAACUAGCAGUCUUACAGCCUAAUUCUUCUUUGGACUGGUCCUUGGCAGCAGUUCCUUUUCAGACUCGAUAAACAGAAUUCAGAUGAUGUAAGUCAAAACAAAACUUUACAAAGCCAAGCGUAUUAUCUUUUGCAUUAACCUAUUUUUUUCCAUCAUACAUGCUACUAGUAUGUGCAUUAGCAUGAUAUUCUCAUAUACAUUGCAUUAAAAAUUAAAAGGUGGCAGCUCAGGGUGAGCUCUUCUGUUGCUCAUUUGUUCCUAAAUUUUUAAGGGCUUUUUCUCAGUCAAUAGUUUGUACAAACUGGUUAGUUUAACUUCAUUACCCAUUUCAUUAAAGUUGAUGGGUCGUGUGAUGAGAUGCAUUUAAGGCCGAUAGUGAUAGAUGUUUUUUUUAUUUCUUGAACACAGGCUUUGUCUGAAUGAUGUUCUUUUAUCUCUUGAACACAAGCUUUGAAUGAUAACUACAGGUUUUAAGUGCUGUUACAUUAAUACCAUAAUGUGAUGUGUUAGAAACAAAGGGAUAUUUCAAAGGUAGAUAUUUGAAAAUUCUCUAGUCUCAAUAUGUAUGUGUAUUGAAUAUACUCUAAAAAUAAAUGUGCAAUUUGCUAGUAGGACAAUGCAGUGACUGACUAGCAUUAGGUAUGUUUCUUUUAUAUCCUAGCUAUGUCCCACUUUCUUCUAAGUGCAAUCCUUUCAUGUUCACUUGCUGUUUUACCCCAUCUACUCUAACUUCAUUUGGAAGGCUUGUCUAGAGUAUAGCAUGUAUUUUUACCUUUGCAGUGAAUUGCAUGUGCUAAUUGUAACCACAGCUAUUUUUAUGUUGACAUAACUCCAAAUGUUAUAUUAAAUGUUCUAUUAUAUAUUAGCUCUAAUCCCUUAAGUAAAUUUUAAGAAAUAAAUACUUGUUCAAAUUUUUUUUCUGUAUGUGGUUACUAUCAUCUGACUAUGCAUAUUUGUAACAGCAUUUAUCAUUAGUGGUGUUAGCUAAAUAAGCAUCUUAGUGUAAAUGAGAUGCUUCGUGUGGGUUUUGUGACAUUUUAAAUGACAUAAUGGAAUGUGAUUUAAAAGAAAACCAGUACACUAUCUUGGUCUUAAUAACAUAGAAUGGAGAUGGCAAAUUUAUCCACUAGUUUUCCAGAUUUACUAUUUAAUAGCUGAGGUCUGAAAUCGUAGCAUCCUCCCUCCUAGUGGACAUUAAAAAAAAAAAAAAAAAAAAAAACCUACUUGGUUGUCAAGAGCCCAAGUAUGGAGGUGCUGCGCCAUCUUGUGGCCUGUCUGUGCCCACCCUGCACUCUGCUGGAGUCUCCAUCCUUGUUGCAGUGAGACUUGAAGUUCAAGAUUGAUACAUGGCAUCCUCCUGCUACUUCUUGAGGUUACUAAGUAGUAUAUGAAACUAAUCAGUCAGCAAGUCCACCUGGAAGGAAAAGAAAAUCUCAACUAUUAAUGUGCCUUCACAUUGUGAUUUUGUCUAAAAAAAUGUAGUGAGUCAAAAAACCCACAAGCCAGCCAACAGUAACUCCUUCACAUAUAUACCAGAGUUUAUAGAAAUAACAUGUCAGCUUUGGGCUAUGUGCUCCUUUGUUUAAAAUCUUCUAUUUGGUUAUGGCUUGUAUAGGCUCAAGCCUGAUUUCUUUAAGGUGUGGUGGCUCAUCUUAUCCUAAUGUGUAUGAUAGAUACAGUCCAUCCUGCUUUGGAAAAGAUUAUGUAACUCCUUGAGAGCAUACUCUUUCUCUAGCCCAAAGGCAGUGAGAGAGUUUUCUUGUUCAGGAUUGCUUAACUUUCCAUUUAAGCUUUUUCUUUUUAAAUUAAUACAAACUUCUACACUUUCAAAAUACGAAAUAUAUUACAACUGCGUAUAGGCUCUUCCAUACUUAAGUCCAGUGCUUGGGCAAGUUAAUGGAGUGAAAGACUACAAGCAAAGAGGAACUGAGGUAGAAAAAGAAGAAUGUGUGAAAGCAGCAGGAAGCUCAGCCAACUCGAAAGCAGGGUGAACAGCUUGAGUCCUGUUGCUGCUGAUCGGGGUUGGCUCUUGGACAACUUAGUAAGAUCAUGGAAAGGCUGCUUGGGUUCUCCAUAGAAAAGUUCUGUCUCCAUCAAGGGAGGAAAAUGUACCUUUCAACUCAAAAUUCAAUAUUUGUUUUUAAAUAUAGCUAUUUUCCCCAACCGCUAAAGAUUUUCAACAGAUACGAAGCCAGAGCUUAGUUUUAGAAACCUGUGGACAUUCAAACCUGAUUCUUUAUUCCCUGUGACUAUGGUUAUGUCAUUUUACAUGUCAAAAAAGUGUAUCUAGAAUUGUCAUUUCUUAUUUUUGAGCUUUUUUUAGUGAGAAUUAUCCCCUCACUUAAAUGGCUUUUUAUUUAAACAUCUGUGCAUUCUGUAUGAAAUUGUAGUCUUUCUGGGAUAACAUGGUGAGCUAUAUGGUGGUAAUCCACACACACAAAAAUAAAAGCCAAAAAAAAACCAAAA